GACGAACGCUGGCGGCGUGCUUAACACAUGCAAGUCGAACGGAAAGGCCCUGCUUUUGUGGGGUGCUCGAGUGGCGAACGGGUGAGUAACACGUGAGUAACCUGCCCUUGACUUUGGGAUAACUUCAGGAAACUGGGGCUAAUACCGGAUAGGAGCUCCUGCUGCAUGGUGGGGGUUGGUAAGUUUCGGCGGUUGGGGAUGGACUCGCGGCUUAUCAGCUUGUUGGUGGGGUAGUGGCUUACCAAGGCUUUGACGGGUAGCCGGCCUGAGAGGGUGACCGGCCACAUUGGGACUGAGAUACGGCCCAGACUCCUACGGGAGGCAGCAGUGGGGAAUAUUGCACAGUGGGCGGAAGCCUGAUGCAGCAACGCCGCGUGCGGGAUGACGGCCUUCGGGUUGUAAACCGCUUUCGCCUGUGACGAAGCGUGAGUGACGGUAAUGGGUAAAGAAGCACCGGCUAACUACGUG
rnacentral:rRNA from 1 species